ensembl:lncRNA
AUACAGUAUGUAUAUAGGGGUCAGGGGACGAUAUACAGGGUCAGUAGAUACAGUAUGUAUAGGGGUCAGGGGACUAUAUACAGUAUGUAUAGGGGUCAGGUGACUAUAUACAGUAUGUAUAGGGGUCAGGGGACUAUAUACAGGGUCAGUAGAUACAGUAUGUGUAGGCGUCAGGUGACUAUAUACAGUAUGUAUAGGGGUCAGGGGACUAUAUACAGGGUCAGUAGAUGCAUUAUGUAUAGGGGUCAGGUGACUAUAUACAGGGUCAGUAGAUACAGUAUGUAUAUAGGGGUCAGGGGACUAUAUACAGGGUCAGUAGAUACAGUAUGUAUAGGGGUCAGGUGACUAUAUACAGGGUCAGGAGAUACAGUAUGUAUAUAGGGGUCAGGGGACUAUAUACAGGGUCAGUAGAUGCAUUAUGUGUAGGGGUCAGGUGACUAUAUACAGGGUCAGUAGAUACAGUAUGUGUAGGCGUCAGGUGACUAUAUACAGGGUCAGUAGAUACAGUAUGUGUAGGGGUCAGGUGACUAUAUACAGGGUCAGUAGAUACAGUAUGUGUAGGGGUCAGGUGACUAUAUACAGGGUCAGUAGAUACAGUAUGUAUAUAGGGGUCAGGGGACGAUAUACAGGGUCAGUAGAUACAGUAUGUAUAGGGGUCAGGUGACUAUAUACAGUAUGUAUAGGGGUCAGGGG